CCUACAAAACAGUGAAACCACACCUUUGAGCUGCAACCAGUGAAGCCAGGAUCCUGGGGAUGCAACCUGGUCCUGGGACAUUCUCCAGAACUACUGGCAGUUAUAUCCCCAGCCUCCUUCCCUUGCAAGCUCAGAAACUGACCGUAGUGGACAUCAGGAAAUUGAUGGUGAUGUGCUCUGAAGGCGGGAAGUGGAGGAGGAGGAUGACCCAGGAUAUCAAGCCCUUUGAUUACAUUCGUCUGGUUCCACCCCACUCACUCCGAGUCGCCCACAUAGAGACCCAUAGGUGCAACAUAACCUGGACCAUCUCCCAGGUAUCCCACUACAUC